GAUUUAUAACUAAUAAUUGCACGAUUUUGGAAAACAUAAAGAAAAUGGUGAUAUCUAUAAUUAACAUUUAAUAUAAGAAAUUCGAAAAGUCUUUAGUUAUCAUUAUUAUUAUUAUUUGAAAAAUGUUUAACUUUUUUAAGGGUAAUGAUUAAUUUUAGUAUGCCUGUUUGGAAACUGGAUGGAUUUUAAGAUAUAAUUUCGUUUUUUUCUCUCUUUUAAUUUAUAAUCUAUAAACUUCUCUUAAUAACAUAUGUAUUUUUCUAUGAUAAAAUACCAAACACACUUCAUGAUAUCAUUAGACUUUUAAACUGUCAGUACCGGGAAUUUGGUGGGUCAAUCUCAGACCAGAACCGAGAAGUCACCAUUAAUUGACUGCAACUCCUUUUAUGAGACUCCAUUCUCUUCCUCAACCAUCACUCUGGCUCGGUGUUUCUCCAUCAAACAGCUGAAUGGCGAUUCAUGUAGGUACUGGUGAUUCUAACAGAUACCCUCCAUCUCCUUGCUAUAGGAAGACAAUGAUAAGUUCAGAUCUGAGGACAACUAGAUUGUGCUUGUCCACUACUUUUGCUAAAUAUCUGAAACCAUCUGGGCAUGGUUCCGUCUGGAAGAUAACCGGUCCACCUUCCAGUGUAGAAAAAAAAUAUCUUUUUCUUCCACCUGCUAAGGAGUAGUAGAAGGGAUUCAGAGUGAAAAUUUGGGGUUGAGUGGAAGGAGUGCUGUAAGUUGUACAAGUUAAAGAAGAAGGACAAGCUUAUCCUGAGACUAGCCUCCAUACUGGACUGGCACAUACAGUUGGAGAUCGAGAAAUUUUAAUUCCUACAAAAAAAUAGCUGUUUAUCUAUUAUCCUGCAGAAACAUAUUUUUCUUUAUGUCUUAGAUUGUAUUGGACAUGUUCCAUUUUUUCUUUUUUUUUUCUUUUUUUCUAGAUAUCUGACAUUCUAUGCUUUAAAUUUGCUAAAUAAUGGGUUUUCUUUUCA